rnacentral:rRNA from 1 species
GACGAACGCUGGCAGUGUGCUUCACACAUGCAAGUCGAGCGGUAUUUUAGUAGUAGCUUGCUAUUACUAAAGUUAGCGGCGGACGGGUGAGUAAUGCAUAGGAAUCUGCCUCAAGGGCGGGGGACAACGGAUCGAAAGAUCCGCUAACUACCCCAUAUGCGAGUAAUCGUGAAAGGAGUAAUCCGCCUAGAGAUGAGCCU